UGGAAGAACAGCAACUGUUGUCGGGUGCGAGUCAGUGUUUGCUGUUUGGCUCCGCUUCGGAUUUCCUUUGUCCUCCGCUGGCUGGGAACGAACUGCGGUCCAAGAUCUGGAGUAAGCGGAAUCGGAAUAAAUUUUCUAGGUUAGCAGCUCCGAGCCAAUUCCAACAAUGAUUGGAAGAGUUCAUAACAACCCGUGUGGCGGAAAACGUUUCUGCCAAGGAGAAAGCGACAGGCAGCUGAUCAGCCAUCCGAAUAUGAACAGGAGCGAUCCGGAUGUGGGGCGCAAGUUGUUUCCGUAGUAUCAAGGUUCUGACCGACGACACCAAGAGCCGCGAUUUUCGACACAGGUGAAAUAAGCUAGUGGAGGCCCGUCGUACUAUUGAUCCGAAACAAUUUGAUCGAAUACUUUUUUUAAGAUCCGAUUUUUUUAAUGUAUCACAAAUAUAAAUA